UACGUAGGUGGCAAGCGUUGUCCGGAAUUAUUGGGCGUAAAGGGCUCGCAGGCGGUUUCUUAAGUCUGAUGUGAAAGCCCCCGGCUCAACCGGGGAGGGUCAUUGGAAACUGGGAAACUUGAGUGCAGAAGAGGAGAGUGGAAUUCCACGUGUAGCGGUGAAAUGCGUAGAGAUGUGGAGGAACACCAGUGGCGAAGGCGACUCUCUGGUCUGUAACUGACGCUGAGGCGCGAAAGCGUGGGUAGCGAACAGG
rnacentral:rRNA from 1 species